UUGGGGAUCCCCUUCCCCUUCUUCAUCGCGACGCCGCCGACUCUCCUCCCUCCCUCUCACACUCGCACGCGCAGGCGGCGCUGUGCGCCGUGCCAUCGCUGCCUCCCCGUCGGCCAGCAACAGCCUCCACCGCCCCCGAGCCACAGCCAAGCCUCUUCCCUCUUCUCGCGCGCAAGCACCACAGUAGCCGGCAACCCUCCUCCUCACGCGGGCACCAGCCGCCGAGCCAAGGCAACCGACCCCUCUUCCUCACGUGGAGGACGUUGAUUGAAGACGGUUGACACGAUCUCCACAUAAGACGGGUAACAGAUAGAUGAGUC